rnacentral:rRNA from 1 species
CAGCAGCCGCGGGAAAACGUAGGGUGCGAGCGUUAAUCGGAAUUACUGGGCGUAAAGCGUGCGCAGGCGGUUCGUUAAGACAGAUGUGAAAUCCCCGGGCUUAACCUGGGAACUGCAUUUGUGACUGGCGAGCUAGAGUAUGGCAGAGGGGGGUAGAAUUCCACGUGUAGCAGUGAAAUGCGUAGAGAUGUGGAGGAAUAGCGAUGGCGAAGGCAGCCCCCUGGGCCAAUACUGACGCUCAUGCACGAAAGCGUGGGGAGCAAACAGGAUUAGAUACCCGAGUAGUCCCUGUCACUUAUAC